UAAAAUAUAGUGUAAAUUUAAAUAUUUGGCCGUUAACCAAAAGAAAUUCUUUAGAAUUAUUUUAU
rnacentral:tRNA from 1 species